CAGAGAAAACAUCUUUCACAAACAUCAACAUAUCGUUCUCUUUUAAAGUGUUUAGUGUAUAUGAUAAGUGGGGUUAUUAUAGCACAAUUCCCACCCAGAACACACUAAUUUUUAAAGCCUGGAUACGGCCACAGUGCCUUCCAUUCCCCCAGUGUGUUUCUCCUUUUCACAGUCUGGCAGAAAUGAUGGGUGGUUCCAAAAUACAUCAUCACAUGACAGUAAAAGUGUACAGUUGCUAAGAUGCAGGAGGUGGGUCAACAUACCCACUGGCUCAACUUACCCCACUCUCCCCUACUUCCAUUGAAGAUGAAGGCAGAAGCAGUCUCAGAGAGUGAGGGAGAGCCCAGUCUUAUUACAGUUAGUACAGAGUGUGCUGUCUUCUCUUUUAAUUGUAUAUUUGUAACAACUGGAUAAUUUGUAUUAACAAGCACCCACCACCCCCCUAGUGCCCCAUUUUUGGUUUGGCCACUGCCCCUCAAAAUGUCUGUGGACGACCCUGGUUCCUACACACCUGACUGGAAGCUUUCAUUGAUCCUAGUGACCUUGAUUAGCUGGUUCAGGUGUGUUUAAUUAGGACUGGAGAUAAACUUUGGCCUCGUCCACACGGAGACGCGUUUAGCUGUAUACGCAUAAAUUUUGUAUCGUAUAGGCGUUUCGUCCACACGGAUCCGGCGUUUUGGGAAAGUGAAACCGAUAUUUUUUUAAACCGUGUCCCAGAGUGUAUAAAUUUGAAAAUGCCGCCCUUGCGUUUUCGUGUGUACACCGAAUCCGUAUAUUUUGUGAAACAAUAAUGUCAUCAGCCCACGUCUUGCCCCUCAGACAUCGCUACGUCACGUAAUAGCAACAAAAACAUGAACAAACACUGAACGAUUGUCUUUUUAUUAACUAACAUUAAAACAUAUAAAUAAGUGUAUUGUUCCAUGUUCGUUUGUAUACUGCGCACAAGGUUUAUGCGCAUAGUCCAAAUCUUCUUCUCUGUUUUUAGUGUAUCUCUUUGGCACAUACUGCGCCACAUUACAGCGCCACAUACUGGUCUAAAAUAAAUUGACUGCUGGAAAGGUGUCAUUUAUGUUUGAAAAGGUUUUCCCCAAACUUUCAAAUGGUCAGAAAUAUUAAUGUUAUUUCAUCAUUAACUUACAUCAGAUGGCAACAUUAUUUUAUGACGACAUUUCAGUUGUAUUUUCAGUAUUUCAGCAAAAGUGAAAAAAAAAAACCCAACAUAUUAACAUUGAUAUAACAAUUUUACCAAUGAUAAUCUUUUGUUAAUUUCAAUAUUGAUUUAACAGCAGUGAUGUAGAAUCAACAUCAUAGUGUAAUGUUGAUUCACUGAUGUUAUCAUUGGUUGUUUUUGUUAAUUUCACUAUUGCUUCAACAUCGGUGAUGUGGAAUCAAUCAUAGUGUAAUGCUGAUUCAAAAAUAUUACCAUUGAUUAUUUUUGUUCAUUUCAAUGUUAAUUUAACAGCAGUGAUGUCGAAUCAAUCAUAGUGUAACUUUGCUGUUGCAAAAGUGAUACUGAACCAACACCACUUUGUAACAUUUAAUCAAUGCAGCUAGCAUUGAUGCAUCAACAUUGACUUAACAUCGUUUCAGUGGUUGCUUGCUAUCAGCUGAGCAAGUGAUAAUGCUAAAUUUAAAAUCUGUUCCAAUGAAGAAACAAACUCAUUUACAUCUUGGAUGACCUGAAGGUGAGUACAGUUUCAGCAAAUUUACUUUUUGGGUGAACUAUUCCUUUAAAGAAGGACUUUUUUUGUCUACAGCGUUAUAACAUUUUACAUUUUCCUCUGGCACAAUAUUCCCUCAUAAACCAUCACACCAGUUUUCCCUGACUGAAUUGGAAGAUAAAUUGACUUUUCCUCUAACAUGCCAAAUGAAACUUAUCACUUAUUUCAUUUGAAGACGGCACCGUUCACUUAAUGUAAGUCACAUGAAUUCUAGAAAAGCAUGCAAGGCAUUAUGUCUCUGAGUUCUAGUCUGCUUGAUUUAGUUUUUAAGUCGCAGGAGCAUAAGUGUCCCGGCCCACAAUGGAAUGCCAUGUGCCAUACCUGCUGUGAGUAUGAGCAGAUUUCAUGUAAGUGCCCAUCUCAGAGAACAAAGGUGGGCUAUGCUGUACCCUGCUGUCGAAACGCUCUGGAUGAGUGUGACCCCUGCAUCCUUCACCAGGGUAAGAGGAAACACAACUUUGUUAGACGUUUUGAACUUUAGAAGACCAGCAAGUGUAUUUUUUUCAAUCUGAGCAGUUUAUAUUAUAUUACAUUUUGAACUUUAGAAGACCAGAAAGGCUAUUUUUUCAAUCUGAGCAGUUCAUAUUAUGGUUUUAUAUUGCAUGCACAUGUGAUUUUUUUAUUUAUUUUUUUAAUAUAUGAGAGUCAGCAUACUUCAUUUAUUUGUUUAUUAAUUAUUUACGCAUUCCAAUUGCUGUUUUCAUAAACUUUAUUUAUUAAUUAAGUAAAUCAUUUCUAUAUCCACCAAGGCUGCAGCAUUUUUGACAACUGCAAGACUUGCAACAAUGGCGACUGGCAGGCCAAGGAUGAUCAGAGGCAGGUACUGCACAUCAUGUUGUCGAGGGUGGUCUUGUGGAGACUGUCUCACUUGCGAGAAGUUAUACAGAGACCACAUGGUCAUGUGAAAGUUGUCCAAUAAAUGCCAAAUGUGAAUGGACACACUACAGGUUGGCAAAGAAGCAACGAUGGAACUCAGAUACUGUGGGGAUGAAAGCCCUUCACCAAUCAGAAGUUCUGGAAACUCUCGUUUUGUGUCUGAUGGCUACAAUAACUAUGACGGCUUUUUUGCUACAUUCCAGGAAGUCUCAGAAGCAAUCAUAAAAGACUGUCCACCUCCACCACAACUCCACAAUGGAUACUCCACUGAGGUUUCAGUGGAGACUCAAAAAGUACACGCCAGAAGAAUGGGACCUGGAGCGGCAGUCGGCCUCUGUGUGUGAGAGCUUGCAGAGAACCUAAAGUUUCAAAACUUGUGCGGCAGAAGGUCUUAAAAUACCAACCUCCUUCCAGGAAAAGUCCAGUCCACAAGCUCUACUCUGCAUCCAUUCAGAGAGGGACUGAAGCAGACACACUGGAGAAAGCGUUUCCUGUUUUUGGAGAUUUGCCCCCAACUUUCCACCAUGUGUACACCAGCAUAGAAUAUGAGUGUGUUUCAGCGCUUUAAAAGCAUUCAGGUAGUGCAGUGGUUCCCAACCAUGUUCCUCGAGGCCCCCCGACACUGCACAUUUUGCAUCUCUCCUUUGUCUGACACACCUAUUUCUAGUGUUGGAGUCUCUACUAAUGAGUUGAUGAUCUGAAUCAGGUGUGUUUGAUUAAGGUGACAUGGAAAACAUGCAGUGUUGGGGGGCCUUCAGGAACAUGGUUGGGAACCACUGUGGUACUGCACGCAGUACCGUCGCAAGGGCUGUUUAACGUUUAGGCUGGUCUAGAGCCCUGCAUUUCACCCCAAUUUUCAUGACAUAGUUCAGACGCGGGCCGGGCCUCGGUCCUGUUUUAGGCUUCUUGUUAUUUUUAUAUUUUAGACAUCCAUCAAUUAUUGAUGAAAAAAUUGCCGCGCUGGUGGAAACAACAGGAGACCGUGCUACCACGACUGUCAAGAGCGACUCGACAGUGUUUAGUGUCCAGCAGCAGUAGCGUGCCAUCAGCGCAGCUGAAGAGUUCUGCAUUAAAAUGCACGCAAUAGGCUUAAGCUUGCAGCAAAGCAUCGACAAAAGUAAUUACCAUAAAUGAGUGAGGGGGAAAUAGGAAGGAGAUAUUUGAAUUCUUUGUUUCUGAGUCGGUGU